rnacentral:misc_RNA from 1 species
CUCGAAACGAACUAAAUGGGGGCGACGGGUUCUUUCCCGGGGUCUUUGGACUUUGGGAUAGAGCGGGCGCCUAGAGCGUUCGUUUUUUUGGGGCGGAAAAAAAACCCGGGGCGGAGAAAUGGGCAAGGAAAUUUAAAAGAGAAAAGGUUGCUACCAUCCCCCAAAAGGUGGGGGGGGGGGGGGAGGGCAUGGAUUCUUUUUAAAACACA